rfam:Trichobilharzia regenti genome assembly, scaffold: TRE_scaffold0024251
GCACUGCUGAAGAGUCCCAAACUAGGGCGAAACAGCUGUCCAGUAC